rnacentral:rRNA from 1 species
AGGGUUGGGCUGUUCGCCCAUUAAAGCGGUACGAGAGUUGGGUUCAGAACGUCGUGAGACAGUUCGGUCCCUAUCUGUCGUGGGCGCUGGAGACUUGAGAGGAGCUGUCCUUAGUACGAGAGGACCGGGAUGGACGGACCCCUGGUGUGUUGGUUGUUCUGCCAAGGGCAACGCCAAGUAGCUAUGUCCGGAUGGGAUAACCGCUGAAAGCAUCUAAGCGGGAAGCCCACCUCAAGAUUAGGUCUCCCUGCUCGCAAGAGCACUAAAGGUCGGUAGUAGACUACUACGUUGAUAGGCUGGGUGUGUAAGUCCGGUGACGGAUUAAGCUAACCAGUACUAAUUGACCGUGUGCCUUGACCCCAU